UACGUAGGGCGCAAGCGUUGUCCGGAAUCAUUGGGCGUAAAGAGCUCGUAGGCGGCCUGUUGCGUCCGCUGUGAAAUCCCGGGGCUUAACCCCGGGCGUGCAGUGGAUACGGGCUGGCUGGAGGCAGGCAGGGGAGAACGGAAUUCCCGGUGUAGCGGUGAAAUGCGCAGAUAUCAGGAGGAACACCAAUUGCGAAGGCAGCUCGCUGGGACGUUACUGACGCUGAGACGCGAAAGCGUGGGGAGCAAACAGG
rnacentral:rRNA from 1 species